rnacentral:rRNA from 1 species
AUGAACGCUAGCUACAGGCUUAACACAUGCAAGUCGAGGGGCAGCGGUAUCGAAAGCUUGCUUUCGGUCGCCGGCGACCGGCGCACGGGUGAGUAACGCGUAUCGAACCUGCCUCAUACUCGGGAAUAGCCUUGCGAAAGUAAGAUUAAUGCCCGGUGUUUUCAGAGUCCCGCAUGAGGCUUUGAACAAAGAUUUAUCGGUAUGAGAUGGCGAUGCGUCCCAUUAGCUUGUUGGCGGGGUAACGGCCCACCAAGGCAUCGAUGGGUAGGGGUUCUGAGAGGAAGGUCCCCCACAUUGGAACUGAGGCACGGUCCAAACUCCUACGGGAGGCAGCAGUGAGGAAUAUUGGUCAAUGGGCGGAAGCCUGAACCAGCCAAGUAGCGUGCAGGAAGACGGCCCUCCGGGUUGUAAACUGCUUUUAGUUGGGAAUAAAACGGGGCUCGUGAGCCCCCUUGCAUGUACCAUCAGAAAAAGGACCGGCUAAUUCCGUG